UACGUAGGGGGCGAGCGUUGUCCGGAUUUAUUGGGCGUAAAGAGCUCGUAGGCGGUUGGGUAAGUCGGGUGUGAAAACUCAGGGCUCAACUCUGAGACGCCACUCGAUACUGCUCUGACUUGAGUCCGGUAGGGGAGCGUGGAAUUCCCGGUGUAGCGGUGAAAUGCGCAGAUAUCGGGAGGAACACCAGUGGCGAAGGCGGCGCUCUGGGCCGGAACUGACGCUGAGGAGCGAAAGCGUGGGUAGCAAACA
rnacentral:rRNA from 1 species